GAUGAAGAACGUAGCGAAAUGCGAUAAGUAAUGUGAAUUGCAGAAUUCAGUGAAUCAUCGAAUCUUUGAACGCACAUUGCGCCCGUCAGUAUCCUGGCGGGCAUGCCUGUUCGAGCGUCAUUACGCCCCUCAAGUCCCCUGUGGACUUGGUGUUGGGGAUCGGCGAGGCUGGUUUUCCAGCACAGCCGUCCCUUAAAUUAAUUGGCGGUCUCGCCGUGGCCCUCCUCUGCGCAGUAGUAAAACACUCGCAACAGGAGCCCGGCGCGGUCCACUGCCGUAAAACCCCCCAACUUUUUAUAGUUGACCUCGAAUCAGGUAGGACUACCCGCUGAACUUAAGCAUAUCAAUAAGCGGAGGA
rnacentral:misc_RNA from 1 species